rnacentral:misc_RNA from 1 species
CGCCUGCCUGACCACCGGAAACCGGCGCGUCGAUAAACUGGAAUCCGCGCUUGGUGGCCUCGGCAUCAAGUUGCCGGGCCACCUCGGCCGAUGCCGUGGUGUGGUCGACAAAAACGGCACCGGACUUCAUGCCCGAAAACGCUCCAUCGGCGCCGAUGGUCACGGCACGCAGGUCGUCGUCGUUGCCGACGCAGGCCAUCACGAAAUCCUGACCUUCGGCCGCGGCCUUCGGUGUCGCGGC